CCUCCGUUUUAGAAUUCAUGUGCACUCUCUUAAUAGGAUAAAAGUUUUGGAUUAGUGGGGGAGAGAGCUGGUUGUAGAGAUCUAAUUAAUAUUUUAACUACAGACGACUGGAGCCUGGUAAGGCAGAUAGAAGUAGAUACUGAGGAUUUAAAUGGUAUUAUCUGGAAUCCAUCAGAGGACAGUUUUGUAAUAUGGGAUACACCACUGAACUACAGGAUACAGGUUUACAGUGUUGACGGGAGACUUCAACUUGACUAUUCAGCUUAUCAACAUCAGCUGGGAGUCAAACAAGCUAGGUUUACUAAAAAUGGGGAACUGUUUGCAGUUGGAAGUUAUGAU